UGUGCAGCUGGUGCGGUGUGAGUGAGUUUUCGGCGAAGGCGACGCGCCCACUGCCGGGCCUGUCCUGCCGCUGUGUACUUUAAUCACUCCUAUUAUCAGGCUGGGCUUGGAGGAUGGCGCCAGAGGAGCUUUACCCCAUUAGCAAGUCCGAGCCUGUUGCUGGAGAUUUGGUCCCAAAUCUCCCGCAGCAGCAGCAGGCAGGCAAACGUUUUCCUCAGCGUGACCCCUUCUAACCUUUCAGAUUUGCAUCCCGUCGGCGCUGUAUCGCUUGCAAAAGCGAAAUAAGAGUGAGAAUGUAUUGUCUUCAUCAGCUGCUUGUGGACUUCCCAGAGGCUGGCGACUGUGAGAAACAGGAUGGCAGACUAGAUGGGCCUUGGCUUGAUCGAGAAGGGUUCUUCUAAUGGUCUAUUCAUUUAAAUGGAUCCAUGUAGUAGCCGUUGCCACAUAGCAUACCAUUGUGUGGAAUAACUUACCAGCAAAUAACCUACCCUGCUACAAGCUUUUUGGUUGUUUGCAUGUUUCUAACUACCUACACAUUUUUGGACCGUGGUAGAUUUAAAGAAGAUCAAUAACAGACCUGCAUCCUGGAAAUCGAAUGAGGACCUCAUUGGAAUGCACAUACUGAACGAAUUUCACUGGGGUAGUUGUUUAAGAUCAUCCAAGUGAACUGUGGCUGCAGACCGUACACAUGGCAUGGUGACUUCUUUGUGAUCAAAAAGAUUUAAAACCAUUCUCAUGAAACUGGUAAACUUGAUGUAGGAGAUGGCAUUCAUAGUGUGUGUCAAUGUGUGUCUUCCCAAUGUGAAGGGAGGAAGCAGCAAAAGGAUACCCUGGAUAUUACCCAGGUUUUGUCACUGGUACAGCCCAUGUUUUCCUUCCAGUAUCCUAUAACUGUGGUGCUCCUAUUCUGGAUAUUAUUCUGCUUCUACUGUGGAUACACUCCAUUUUCUUCCUGUUAUCUCAGGUCUGACAAGCUACCUUACUGUGUCUAACUCCCUUUUUGUUCCCCAUUGCCCCAGGUCUGAUUUUCCUGCCUUUGAUAUUCUGCUGCUAUUACUACUUAUC